UCUCGGUUCCAAAACUAGAUCGUACACA
rnacentral:sRNA from 1 species